rnacentral:snRNA from 1 species
AGAUACAAUAAAAUGUCUGCGACAUCUAUCACCUCAUUGAUUGCCAGGGUUGGUUCAGCUGAUCUGGCUGACUAGCUGGGUGUCCCCUUCCUCCCUUAUCAAUCCAUGCUUGUCUCUCCUGAAGCUGCAUGCCGGGUGAAAGAGGACAGCCUUCCCUGACAGAGACAUACCAUUAAUGGGUCAAGGGUAUAUGGUAGCUACACUCCCCUGCUAGAACCUCCAAACACGCUCAAAAAUUAAGAGAACUGUAAGAUCACUUGCUGCAUAUUCAAGUACUU